rnacentral:rRNA from 1 species
AUGGGAGCAGUCCUGGUCCAAGAUGGGCACCCUGUCGCGUACCUGAGCAACGCUCUAGGCGUGCGCAACCAGAAGCUGUCGGCCUACGAGAAGGAGUUCCUAGCGGUCAUGAUGGCCAUCGACAAGUGGCGUCCCUACCUCCAGCGUGCCCCGUUCGAGAUCCUCACUGACCACAAGAGCUUGUGUUCCUUGGGGGAUCAACAACUCGUCACGGAUCUCCAGCGCAAAGCCAUGUCCAAGAUGGUGGGAUUGCAGUUCACGUUCCGCUACAAGAAGGGCACUGACAAUGGCGCGGCCGAUGCGCUCUCCAGGGUGGGGCACCUGCUGUCGCUGGACGCGUUGUCCGUGUGCCAACCACAAUGGCUUCAGGAGGUGGCCAAUUCGUACGAAACGGACGCCGACGCGCAAGAACUGCUUGCCAAGCUCGCGCUCUGCGACACUGACGACCAAGGCCGCACCUUGCAACAAAGCGUGAUCAGGCAGCGGGGGCGAUUGUGGAUCGGCGCCAACACUGCACUCCAGACCAAGCUCAUCGCCGCGCUGCAC